CUCCCAUACCCAUCUACUCACCCACCCUGAUACACUCAGCCUCUUCCAGCCACCUUGAGCAUUCACUAUCACACACACACACUCCCUGGCACACUUCUUUCAGCUUUUGCCACUUCUCCCUGAACAAUAUUGCCAGGCUUUCCCUAAUUCCAGAGCUGUAGCCUUUUGUCACUUACCCCAAACCCACCAUGUCCUUGGGGCCACUGAAAUUCCAGGCAGUGGGUGAAGAAAAGGAGGAUGAGGAGGAAGAGAGCCUAGACUCUGUGAAGGCGCUGACGGCUAAGCUGCAGCUGCAGACACGGCGGCCCUCAUAUCUGGAGUGGACAGCCCGGGUCCAGAGCCAGGCCUGGCGGAGGGCCCAAGCCAGAUCUGGGCUGGGGGGACCUGGGGCCAUCUGCGGCUUUGACUCAGUGGAUUCUGCCCUUGAGUGGCUCCGACGAGAGCUGCAGGAGAUGCAGGCUCAGGACCAGCAGCUGGCCGGGCAACUGCUUCACCUGCGGGCCCAGCUGCACCGGCUGAAGGUGGACCAAGCCUGUCACCUGCACCAAGAGCUGCUGGAUGAGGCCCAGCUGGAGCUGGAGCUGGAGCCAGGGGCCGGCCUGGCCCUGCCCCCACCGCUGCGGCACCUCGGCCUCACACGCAUGAACCUCAGUGCUCGGCGCUUCACCCUCUGCUGAGGGGUGCCUGUAUGCCUCCUGGGCCACCCACUACCUCUUCCUCAGCCCACCUGGAAAGGGGGAAGCAAGGGGUGCCCCAGAGGCGCCAGCACCUGGUCUCCGCAGCCAUUAUUCAGGUUCAAGGUCGUCAAGUGUUAUCUGUUGCUGGGACCAGGGAUUCCGUUGCAAGAGAGAAGACCUGGGUUGGGGUGGAAAUGAACUGAUGGAUCCUCAUUUCCCCCACAGCUCCAGCUCUAUGGCUCUAUCUUAUCAAGAUCAGAACUGGGGAAAAACUUAAAAUCCUAAAUCACGUCCAUGGAAGGUGACUUGGGUACGUGGGCAGCUGAAGAAUGCAGAAUCCGGUAGAACUGGACUCAAAGGCAGCUCCCCCAUUUGUUUCUAUCAGAUUUGAGAAGGUCCCUUAAUUCCUGAAUCAUUUCCUUUACCUCUAAAAUGGCAGUGCUAAUUCUCACUCCCCAAGUAGGUGGAUGUUUCGUAAGUGGGAGAAUGCACAGUAAGCACUCAGUAAAUGUGAACUAUCUGUUGCUUAUCCUUACUAUCAGCAGUGGUGUUAUUACUAUUGUGCUGAACCCAGAGAUGGCCUGUGCCAUGCUCAGGUUCAUAGCUAGGGUUGCUGACGCCUGCAGCCCAGACUAUGGGCUCUGUGUCACUGUAGUUGGGUUUUGUGUUUUUUUUCACUUUGUAUCUCUCAGUCUUUGUUUCUGUGUUACCCUCUUUGUCUGACUUUCCAACUCAGGCUUCCUCUUCCCCCCACCCACUUCCUGUCUCCCCCUUCCCUCUGCAGCUGAGGUGCACACAGCAUCAGCUUCCACCUCACAAACCCCAACAAUGCUCUGUGGGCUCCCUUCCCCCAAACUGCUCACUCAGUGUAGGCUCAGGCAGUGGUGACGUGUUUAUACUUUCCUCUGGGUGGGGUCAAGGCCCAGCUCUUGGGCCUGAUAAAGGCCACCUGGAGCUCCUCAUAACACUGAUGACCUGGCCCUCAGACUAUGAUGGGUGCCACCCUCAGUGUGGCCUCCGGGUAAAGGGAGAUUCUUGGCCUGCUUGCUGCUGUGACAAGGUUCCUGCCUGUAACAGAAAAUGCUGCCAGUCUGCUGCUUGCAUCUGGGUGCUUGAGAAGGAGUGUUUGUUCUAGCUUCCACCUGUUGCGGGAGGUGGUGCCAGGCUCUGCACCUCUAAUAGGGUUGGUGGCCUUGCCACUACCUGAAUUAGAAUUGUUCCCCAACUCUCCAA